rnacentral:sRNA from 10 species
GAGAAAAGUGUGGGAAAUUCAAGGAAACAAGUGACAAAAGGUGGUGAGUCCUCCGUAAAGGCAAGGAAAUUGCACCCGAGGACUAGUAAUCUGAGUACUUCGAAAGUCCCCAUUUUAGACAUUGUUCAGAAUAGGCUGUAGAUAGCUGAUCUCAUCGAGGACUA